ensembl:lncRNA
AUACUCAGUGUAUUUCUGUUUCUCUUUUCAUAGUGUGGAAAAUUGCUUGAUUUUAAAUUUAAACAGUCAGUGCGGUUGGCAAAGUUCCGUACCAAAGCCCUACUGCACAUGCACAGUGGGCUAAAACAACAGUUGCAUCAAGGAAUCAAUCCAAAGUCCUUGACAAUUUAGCCAUCAUGGUAGGCAAAGGUCAACAUUCUAAUUUCAUUACCUCGCACUUUGUUCUAAACUAAAGCAUUUAUUUAGGAGGCUAUACAAAAUAAAAAUGUUUUGCAUACAACAUAAACAUAAUACAUUACACGAUCAUGAAUAAAUUGUAAUUCCUGUAAACUGACAGUUCAAAUAAAAAGUUAUUAAUAAUGGGCAGAACUAUUGUAAAUAAAAAAAACUAAUAGGCAUUUGGUAAAAUCACACAUCACUGCAGCUGGCAUUAUAAGCUCUGGUUCCCAGAAAAAGGAGAACUACUGCACAUGCACAAUAACUAAAUUAAACAAAAUUUACAGUUUUAACUCUAUUUACUCUAUUUAUAUAUUCUAAUGUCAGAAUUUAUUGGUAAUUUUAAAAUAUGUUUUGAGAUUUCAGGAGUUUCCCAUAAAUGGUAGUUAGCUUUGCAUACCCUUAAAAAAGUUGCCUGGAGGUGUUCCAAAUAUGACUUUCAAGUUAACUGAUGUGCACUGAAAGCAGAAAGCUUGCCAUACUCAACCUAAGCAGAAGCCUUGAAUUUUUUUAUUUAUUUAUUUAUUUAUUUAUUUAUUUUUUCAGAAAUUAUACAGUCUGAAUAGCCUUUCAGAUUUUUUUUUUGUAUGGUAUAAUAUAAAUAAUAAGCCUGGGCAUUUAAAAAAAAAACCACACAUGUUGGCUUGGAGUCACAUGAUGCUAAGCAUAUUUUUUAACUUUCUUUCAGAAUUAUUAUGAACCAUUUUUAAAAGCUGUACUGUUUGACGUUCUUAUAUUUUAGAUGGAGAAGCUGAAAGCUCUGGGAUAUGUUCCACUUCUUCUACUAGGGAAAUGUUCAAAGGCCCAUAAGUGGACAGCAGAGGUCCAGUGUCCCUUUGAGUUCCCAAUUGAGGGACAUAUGGUGAUGGAAAAAAUGCUCAUCCUCUUUGAGCAUAUUUUAAAGGGUUUGAGUCCAGAAGAAGAACCAGAGGUCACAGAAGGUAAUGAAGCAGAAAGUCAGGACUUGAAAAAGACUGUAGAAGAGGACAUACUGGUAAAAAAGAUGUGGAAAGACUGGAGGAUGAAGAGCAGAUCAAAGAACAACAGAUAGAAAGUGGGGAGGAAGAACCAGAGAGGCCUGUUGAGGAACAGAGAUUUAAAAGUCCAGAAAAAAAAAAAACAAGAGGACACAGAGGGCGAUAGGACAGAGAGUCAGGACUUAAAAGAGACUGUAGAAGAUGAGGAGGACAUUUUAUCAGAGAAAAAUGUAGAAGUGAGGAUGAAGGAAAGAUUUGAGGAUAAAGAGCAAAUCGAAGAACAACAGACAUAAAGUGGAGGGGAGAACCAGAGAGACCUGUUGAGGAAGGAUACAUGAAAGUGACAAAAAAGACUAAACAGGCAAAGGAGAUGAAGAAACAGGCAAAGAAAAGAAUGAGUAGUGCACUUAGGAUGAAUGAAAUGGAAGAGAGAAGAGAGAUCGAGGGAGUCAUAUUAAAACCAGAAUAGUGAGUAGAAGAAUAUGGGGUGAAGCAAAGACUCUAGAUAUAUGAACACAUUACACUCCUAUUACUCAUUAAUAAUGGCCAACAUGGCAAAUUAAUCCAACCUUCUAAAUAAAAGAGCAAAUUGUUGAUUAGAAAAGUUAACACGUCAUCUCAACUGCUGUUAGAAGCUCCGGUUGCUUUAGAAAUAGACAGUAUUUGCAUACUGCUUAUGCGCAUUGGCUGC